AUGUUGAGAUUCUCUUCAAAAACAUUGAGAAAGGAGCAGAGAAAAAUUUCAAAAAAGUAGAGACCAACAACUUGGGAACUCCCUACGACUUCAAAUCCGUCAUGGAGUACGGAAAAUAUGCAUUCUCCAAAGAAGUUGGUAAGUUGCCUACCAUCGUUGCCAAGUCCGAUCCUAAGUACGACUGGGGGCGAGCCACUAAAAUGAGCGCCAACGACAUCGCCCGCGUCAACAGGCUUUACAAAUGCUGU